rnacentral:lncRNA from 1 species
CUUUUGAGUGGCAGGAAAGCAUAUAAAUUAUUUGGCAAACGUUCGGUAGUGGCUACUAUAAAACUGAGAACAGAAAUAGGGAAUAUGUCAUAUAGUCAACAACCCGACCCGAGAUCAGACAACAGCCGAAGCGCAAAAAUCACGCGCCCGGACGUCAUACAUUUUUUCGGCCAAUGAAUUUUAACAAUUAUACAAAAAAACUAAUCAAGGAUACCAGACUAAAAACAAAUUUUGCUAGACGAGCGGCUCACCUGUGACGCUAGAAUAAAAAAGUAAAAAAGGUCCAUUAAGAUAUGACGUUGAGUAGCAUUUAGGACCUCAAAUUCCGAAAUCAAC